GCCAAGGUGAUAUAGUGGUUUGAGCAUUGGACUACAACUCUGGAGACCAGGGUUCAAAUCCCUGCUUAACCA